rnacentral:ncRNA from 2 species
AAAAUAAUAAUGUAACACCCUCGUAUAAUGUUGGGAAUAUGGCCCAUAAGUUUCUACCCAAUUACCGUAAAUGAUUGGACUAUGAGGGGAAGUGGAUAUGCC